rnacentral:rRNA from 1 species
AUUGAACGCUGGCGGCACGCUUUACACAUGCAAGUCGGACGGCAGCGGGGUAGUGCUUGCACUACUGCCGGCGAGUGGCGAACGGGUGAGUAAUAUAUUGGAACGUACCGAGUAAUGGGGGAUAACCAUCGAAAGAUUGGCUAAUACCGCAUACGCUCUGAGGAGGAAAGCAGGGGACCUUCGGGCCUUGCGUUAUUCGAGCGGCCAAUAUCUGAUUAGCUAGUUGGUGGGGUAAAGGCCUACCAAGGCGACGAUCAGUAGCGGGUCUGAGAGGAUGAUCCGCCACACUGGGACUGAGACACGGCCCAGACUCCUACGGGAGGCAGCAGUGGGGAAUUUUGGACAAUGGGCGCAAGCCUGAUCCAGCC